UUAAGCGACUAAGCGUACACGGUGGAUGCCCUGGCAGUCAGAGGCGAUGAAGGACGUGCGUAAUCUGCGAUAAGCGUCGGUAAGGUGAUAUGAACCGUUAUAACCGGCGAUUUCCAAUGGGGAAACCCAGUGUGAUUCGUCACACUAUCAUUAACUGAAUCCAUAGGUUAAUGAGGCGAACCGGGGGAACUGAAACAUCUAAGUACCCCGAGGAAAAGAAAUCAACCGAGAUUCCCCCAGUAGCGGCGAGCGAACGGGGAGCAGCCCAGAGCCUGAAUCAGUGUGUGUGUUAGUGGAAGCGUCUGGAAAGGCGCGCGAUACAGGGUGACAGCCCGUACACAAAAAUGCACAUGCUGUGAGCUCGAUGAGUAGGGCGGGACACGUGGUAUCCUGUCUGAAUAUGGGGGGACCAUCCUCCAAGGCUAAAUACUCCUGACUGACCGAUAGUGAACCAGUACCGUGAGGGAAAGGCGAAAAGAACCCCGGCGAGGGGAGUGAAAAAGAACCUGAAACCGUGUACGUACAAGCAGUGGGAGCACAGAGCAAUCUGUGUGACUGCGUACCUUUUGUAUAAUGGGUCAGCGACUUAUAUUCUGUAGCAAGGUUAACCGAAUAGGGGAGCCGAAGGGAAACCGAGUCUUAACUGGGCGUUAAGUUGCAGGGUAUAGACCCGAAACCCGGUGAUCUAGCCAUGGGCAGGUUGAAGGUUGGGUAACACUAACUGGAGGACCGAACCGACUAAUGUUGAAAAAUUAGCGGAUGACUUGUGGCUGGGGGUGAAAGGCCAAUCAAACCGGGAGAUAGCUGGUUCUCCCCGAAAGCUAUUUAGGUAGCGCCUCGUGAAUUCAUCGUCCGGGGGUAGAGCACUGUUUCGGCAAGGGGGUCAUCCCGACUUACCAACCCGAUGCAAACUGCGAAUACCGGAGAAUGUUAUCACGGGAGACACACAGCGGGUGCUAACGUCCGUCGUGAAGAGGGAAACAACCCAGACCGCCAGCUAAGGUCCCAAAGUCAUGGUUAAGUGGGAAACGAUGUGGGAAGGCCCAGACAGCCAGGAUGUUGGCUUAGAAGCAGCCAUCAUUUAAAGAAAGCGUAAUAGCUCACUGGUCGAGUCGGCCUGCGCGGAAGAUGUAACGGGGCUAAACCAUGCACCGAAGCUGCGGCAGCGACGCUGAUGCGUUGUUGGGUAGGGGAGCGUUCUGUAAGCCUGCGAAGGUGUGCUGUGAGGCAUGCUGGAGGUAUCAGAAGUGCGAAUGCUGACAUAAGUAACGAUAAAGCGGGUGAAAAGCCCGCUCGCCGGAAGGCCAAGGGUUCCUGUCCAACGUUAAUCGGGGCAGGGUGAGUCGACCCCUAAGGCGAGGCCGAAAGGCGUAGUCGAUGGGAAACAGGUUAAUAUUCCUGUACUUGGUGUUACUGCGAAGGGGGGACGGAGAAGGCUAUGUUGGCCGGGCGACGGUUGUCCCGGUUUAAGCGUGUAGGCUGGUUUUCCAGGCAAAUCCGGAAAAUCAAGGCUGAGGCGUGAUGACGAGGCACUACGGUGCUGAAGCAACAAAUGCCCUGCUUCCAGGAAAAGCCUCUAAGCAUCAGGUAACAUCAAAUCGUACCCCAAACCGACACAGGUGGUCAGGUAGAGAAUACCAAGGCGCUUGAGAGAACUCGGGUGAAGGAACUAGGCAAAAUGGUGCCGUAACUUCGGGAGAAGGCACGCUGAUAUGUAGGUGAAGUCCCUCGCGGAUGGAGCUGAAAUCAGUCGAAGAUACCAGCUGGCUGCAACUGUUUAUUAAAAACACAGCACUGUGCAAACACGAAAGUGGACGUAUACGGUGUGACGCCUGCCCGGUGCCGGAAGGUUAAUUGAUGGGGUCAGCGCAAGCGAAGCUCUUGAUCGAAGCCCCGGUAAACGGCGGCCGUAACUAUAACGGUCCUAAGGUAGCGAAAUUCCUUGUCGGGUAAGUUCCGACCUGCACGAAUGGCGUAAUGAUGGCCAGGCUGUCUCCACCCGAGACUCAGUGAAAUUGAACUCGCUGUGAAGAUGCAGUGUACCCGCGGCAAGACGGAAAGACCCCGUGAACCUUUACUAUAGCUUGACACUGAACAUUGAGCCUUGAUGUGUAGGAUAGGUGGGAGGCUUUGAAGUGUGGACGCCAGUCUGCAUGGAGCCGGCCUUGAAAUACCACCCUUUAAUGUUUGAUGUUCUAACGUUGACCCGUGAUCCGGGUUGCGGACAGUGUCUGGUGGGUAGUUUGACUGGGGCGGUCUCCUCCUAAAGAGUAACGGAGGAGCACGAAGGUUGGCUAAUCCUGGUCGGACAUCAGGAGGUUAGUGCAAUGGCAUAAGCCAGCUUGACUGCGAGCGUGACGGCGCGAGCAGGUGCGAAAGCAGGUCAUAGUGAUCCGGUGGUUCUGAAUGGAAGGGCCAUCGCUCAACGGAUAAAAGGUACUCCGGGGAUAACAGGCUGAUACCGCCCAAGAGUUCAUAUCGACGGCGGUGUUUGGCACCUCGAUGUCGGCUCAUCACAUCCUGGGGCUGAAGUAGGUCCCAAGGGUAUGGCUGUUCGCCAUUUAAAGUGGUACGCGAGCUGGGUUUAGAACGUCGUGAGACAGUUCGGUCCCUAUCUGCCGUGGGCGCUGGAGAACUGAGGGGGGCUGCUCCUAGUACGAGAGGACCGGAGUGGACGCAUCACUGGUGUUCGGGUUGUCAUGCCAAUGGCACUGCCCGGUAGCUAAAUGCGGAAGAGAUAAGUGCUGAAAGCAUCUAAGCACGAAACUUGCCCCGAGAUGAGUUCUCCCUGACUCCUUGAGAGUCCUGAAGGAACGUUGAAGACGACGACGUUGAUAGGCCGGGUGUGUAAGCGCAGCGAUGCGUUGAGCUAACCGGUACUAAUGAACCGUGAGGCUUAACCUU
rnacentral:rRNA from 1 species